GUUGUAGAUUCCUUUGAUCAUGUAAAAGACGGAUCCUCCGGCAAUACCCAUGCCGAACGCACCGCCAACAUCGUCUAAGAUCAGGUCGGGACAUAGUUCUAUUGUACUCUCUGGAGUUUCCAUAGGUUUCGCCCUUUUUCUUAACUGUGAGAGAAAGACAAGUUAAAGAACCCUUAAACCUUUCUAUUAUUUUCUUCAAAAGAAAUUAAAAGUGGAAAGAAAGAAAAGUACUGCGAAAAUGGAAAGAUAACAUUCUCCCAAGUCCCAACCUAACAAUUCAAGCAUCAUCAUCUUCUGUUGACGUAUUUGUAAGAGGCUCUAACAUGUUUUUAGAGUUACCUUUUUUAUGAUCCUCACCUACAUGCCAUAUUAAUAAUCUCUCGUCUUUUGUUUGAUUCAGAAAAAGAAACAUGCCAUAAGCGCAAUGAUACAAUGAGUAUCCUGCAAUAUUAAUAAUUUCUUGUCUUUAGUUUGAUUCAGGAAAGAAAACAUUCCAUAAACGCAGUUAAGCAAUGAGUACAACAACACUGGCCGUCAACAUGUACGAGAUGGAUUACGUCCUUCUACAAAGACCCUCAAAUAGAAAGUUUGGCCUGCUAAGCCGGCCCAGGCCACUAGCUCGGCUGAGCGAUCCCCGACCAAGAGCGCAAGCUCGGCUCAAGACCGUCUCAAUUGACUGAUCGAAGAAAGCACAUCAGGUUGGCUUGAAAGCCCAGUUGCUCGGCCCGAUCGAGAUCAAGGCCGGACACGACGACCUAAGACAUUGGGAAGAAAGCAGCCUAUAUAAGGAAGAGGAGGGUCAGCAAGAGGGGGAUUCGAGAAUUUACACACAUACUUGAUGGGUAAAAACUAGAGUUCUUACUUAUUGUAUUUUCGCCGAUUUGUACUUUCUCGGCUAACUCUCCGAGCACCAGUUUACUCUUGCGUUUAUUUCUUCAUGUGGGAAAAGAAGAGCAAUAAGUCAAGGAGUGUUGAAAGUUGUUGUGUUGGUAUGUUAAAGUCUUUGAGUUUGCUUGUUACAGUAGUCCAAGUAUAAGUUAAAAAUAUGGGUUAUAUAUGGAGAGUGCUCCUAAGUCUAAGUAAAAAAUAAGGCUAUAUGGAGAGGAUCAAGAGUUUUCUGUUUUCUCUGUAAAUAUGUAAUGGCCAAUUUUGUGUAAUAAGCAAG
rnacentral:lncRNA from 1 species